rnacentral:sRNA from 1 species
GCUGGGCAUGGUGGCACAUGCCUGUGAUCCCAGCAGCAUGGGAGGCUGAGGCAGGAGGAUCGUGAGUUCAAAGCCAGCAACUUAGACCCUGUCUCAA